rnacentral:rRNA from 1 species
UACGUAUGGUGCAAGCGUUAUCCGGAUUUACUGGGUGUAAAGGGAGCGCAGGCGGCACGGCAAGCCUGAUGUGAAAGCCCGCGGCCCAACCGCGGGACUGCAUUGGGAACUACCGGGCUGGAGUGCCGGAGAGGUAGGCGGAAUUCCUAGUGUAGCGGUGAAAUGCGUAGAUAUUAGGAGAAACACCAGUGGCGAAGGCGGCCUACUGGACGGUGACUGACGCUGAGGCUCGAAAGCGUGGGGAGCAAACAGG